rnacentral:rRNA from 1 species
ACUGGGCGUAAAGGGCGUCUAGGCGGUUGGGCAAGUCACCUGUGAAAGCCCUCGGCUCAACUGAGGAACGUCGGGUGAUACUGCUCGGCUUGGGUGCAGGAGAGGAGGGUGGAACUCAUAGAGUAGCGGUGGAAUGCGCAGAUACUAUGAGGUACCCCGAUGGCGAAGGCAACCCUCUGGCCUGCUACCGACGCUGAAGCGCGAAAGCGUGGGGAGCGAAGGGGAUUAGGUACCCCCGUAGUCCACGCCCCGAACGAUGUUCACUGGGUGUCGGCCACCAUAUGCAGGUCGGUGCCGGAGCUAACGCGUUAAGUGAACCGCCUGGGGAGUACGGCCGCAAGGCUAAAACUCAAGAGAAUUGACGGGUCCCCGCACAAGCGGUGGAGCACGUGGCUUAAUUCGAUGAUAAACGAAGAACCUCACCUGGGCUUGACAUGCUAGUGGUAGGAACCGGAAACGGGGACGACCCUUCCCUUCGGGGUUGGGAGCUAGCGCAGGUGAUGCAUGGCUGUCGUCAGCUCGUGUCGUGGGAUGUAGGGUUAAGUCCCGAAACGAGCGCAACCCCUGUCGUCAGUUGCCAGCGGGUAAUGCCGGGGACUCUGACGAGACUGCUGGUGAAUAGCCGGAGGAAGGAGGGGAUGACGUCAAGUCAUCAUGUCCCUUAUGUCCAGGGCGGCACACAUGCUGCAAUGGAAGGUACAAUGGGCUGCGAAGUCGUAAGGCGGAGCGAAUCUCACAAAGCCUUCCCCAGUUCGGAUUGAGGUCUGCAAC